AAAUAUGAGGCGGGUACUAGUUAUCGAUUAUUUGGCAUUGAGCUCAUAAAUCGUUUUACAAGCUCUCUUCCUGUUGAGAUUGAGAAGGCACCUGCACAACCAGUUAGCAUAUCUGUUGGCCCCACUGAGGGGCAUGUUCUGAGUACACUCUCAGCAGUUGAUUCUGAUAAAAAAUCGAUAUGAUGUGUCCAAAGAAAAGAAACCAGAACAAUUACAAGUAUCACCAAAAGAUGUUCAGAGCAGGCAAAGUUGUUCUGCUUCCACAAGAAGUCGCACCAAGGUUCAAAUGCAGGGGAUUGCUGUCGGUCGGGCCAUAGACUUGACCAUGAUGAAAGGGUAUGAUCAGCUCUUAGAUGAGCUGGAGGAGAUGUUCGACAUUAAGGGACAGCUUCACUGUCAUAAGUGGGAAAUUGUCUACACUGAUGAUGAAGGGGAUAUGAUGCUUGUUGGUGAUGAUCCAUGGCUUGAAUUCUGUAACAUGGUUAGAAGGAU
rnacentral:misc_RNA from 1 species